UGCAGUCGUACGAAUGUAGCCCGACUUGCUGGGUGGAUCAGUGGCGAACGGGUGAGUAACACGUGAGUAACCUGCCCCUGACUCUGGGAUAAGCCUUGGAAACGAGGUCUAAUACCGGAUAUGUGACGUUCAGGCAUCUGAUGCGUCUGGAAAGAUUUAUCGGUCAGGGAUGGACUCGCGGCCUAUCAGCUUGUUGGUGGGGUAACGGCCUACCAAGGCGACGACGGGUAGCCGGCCUGAGAGGGCGACCGGCCACACUGGGACUGAGACACGGCCCAGACUCCUACGGGAGGCAGCAGUGGGGAAUAUUGCACAAUGGGCGCAAGCCUGAUGCAGCGACGCCGCGUGAGGGAUGAAGGCCUUCGGGUUGUAAACCUCUUUCAGCAGGGAAGAAGCGCAAGUGACGGUACCUGCAGAAGAAGCGCCGGCUAACUACGUGCCAGCAGCCGCGGUAAUACGUAGGGCGCAAGCGUUGUCCGGAAUUAUUGGGCGUAAAGAGCUCGUAGGCGGUCUGUCGCGUCUGCUGUGAAAACUCGAGGCUCAACCUCGGGCUUGCAGUGGGUACGGGCAGACUAGAGUGCGGUAGGGGAGACUGGAAUUCCUGGUGUAGCGGUGGAAUGCGCAGAUAUCAGGAGGAACAC
rnacentral:rRNA from 1 species